UACGGAGGGGGCUAGCGUUGUUCGGAAUUACUGGGCGUAAAGCGCGCGUAGGCGGACCUGCAAGUCGUGGGUGAAAGCCCGAGGCUCAACCUCGGAACUGCCUUCGAUACUGCGGGUCUCGAGUCCGGGAGAGGUGAGUGGAAUUCCUAGUGUAGAGGUGAAAUUCGUAGAUAUUAGGAAGAACACCAGUGGCGAAGGCGGCUCACUGGCUCGGUACUGACGCUGAGGCGCGAAAGCGUGGGGAGCAAACAGG
rnacentral:rRNA from 1 species